rnacentral:rRNA from 1 species
AGCGGAGGAAAAGAAACUAACAAGGAUUCCCCUAGUAACUGCGAGUGAAGCGGGAAAAGCUCAAAUUUAAAAUCUGGUAGUCUUUGGCUGCCCGAGUUGUAAUCUAGAGAAGUGUUAUCCGCGCUGGACCGUGUACAAGUCUCCUGGAAUGGAGCGUCAUAGAGGGUGAGAAUCCCGUCUUUGACACGGACUACCAGGGCUUUGUGAUGCGCUCUCAAAGAGUCGAGUUGUUUGGGAAUGCAGCUCUAAAUGGGUGGUAAAUUCCAUCUAAAGCUAAAUAUUGGCGAGAGACCGAUAGCGAACAAGUACCGUGAGGGAAAGAUGAAAAGAACUUUGGAAAGAGAGUUAAACAGUACGUGAAAUUGUUGAAAGGGAAACGCUUGAAGUCAGUCGCGUUGGCCAGGGAUCAACCUUGCUUUUGCUUGGCGUACUUCCUGGUUAACGGGUCAGCAUCAAUUUUGAUCAGUGGAUAAAGGUUAGGGGAAUGUGGCAUCUUCGGAUGUGUUAUAGCCCUUGGCUGCAUACAUUGGUUGGGAUUGAGGAACUCAGCACGCCGCAAGGCCGGGUUUUAACCACGUUCGUGCUUAGGAUGCUGGCAUAAUGGCUUUAAUCGACCCGUCUUG